rnacentral:lncRNA from 1 species
CACACCUCCCCACAAGCUGAGGGAGCCGGCUGCGGCCUUCGCCAGCCCAGAAAGGGGCUCCUACAGUGCAGUGGCGGGCUGAAGGGCUGCUCAAGCGCCGCCAAAGUGGGAGCCCAGGCAGAGGAGGCGCCCAGAGCGAGCGAGGGCUGUGAGGACUGCCAGCACGCUGUCACCUCUCACUCAUAUAGAUUGCCAAUCUAUUUGUGAACCAGGUUUGCUGGAGUUUGGAUUUACUACUGAGUCAUAUUUGGAGCAUGCUGGAAUCUUACAACUGAGAUUACCGAGUCAGAAACUUGCAAACAUGAGUAACAUGGCCCUGCUCUGGAGACUACUGGGAACACAAACACAGUACCUCUUCUGCUGCAUGUUGAUUAUCUAUCCAGCCAUUUAAGACAUCUACCUGCUUCUCCUUUGCCUUCCAUCAUGACUGAAAGUUGUCUGAGGUCUCCCAGCCACGUGUCCUGUACAGCCUGUGGAACUAUGUAGAAAGGAAAAAGGGAGAGAAAUGGAGACAUUUAUUGAAUCCAGGCACCAUGCUGUGGAUUGCUAAAUACAGCUUCGUAAUUUGCAUCUAGUUAUCUGGUCUUCCAAGCUAGCUUUUUCAAGUAUUUUUACCUUUACACAUAAAGUUCUAUUGGAGAUGUACUUCACCCUU